rnacentral:rRNA from 1 species
AAAGGAAUAGACGGGGGCCCGCACAAGCAGUGGAGUAUGUGGUUUAAUUCGACGCAACGCGAAGAACCUUACCAGGGCUUGACAUCCUCUGACAGCUGUAGAGAUGCAGCUUCUCUUCGGAGCAGAGAGACAGGUGGUGCAUGGUUGUCGUCAGCUCGUGUCGUGAGAUGUUGGGUUAAGUCCCGCAACGAGCGCAACCCUUAUUGCCAGUUGCCAGCAUUGAGUUGGGAACUCUGGCGAGACUGCCGUGGAUAACACGGAGGAAGGUGGGGACGACGUCAAAUCAUCAUGCCCCUUAUGUCCUGGGCUACACACGUACUACAAUGGCAACAACAGAAAGCAGCGAAACCGCGAGGUGAAGCGAAUCUCCAAAUGUUGUCCCAGUUCGGAUUGCAGGCUGCAACUCGCCUGCAUGAAGUCGGAAUUGCUAGUAAUGGCAGGUCAGCAUACUGCCGUGAAUACGUUCCCGGGCCUUGUACACACCGCCCGU